rnacentral:lncRNA from 1 species
ACCCUGCCUGGCAGCGCAAUGGAACCGAGGAUGGGGCUGCAGGACGAUACCAGCACUUCAGGAACUGUGUUUAGGAAUACAGCACUCCAUAUUGUUACCAUAAUAAUGAAACGGAUUCCCAUGGCUACAGCGAUGAAGCAGCAGAAAAAAAAUGGAGAUGCUGUCAAAGAAAAAAGACACAGAUCAGAGAAAGAAGCAUAAAAGGUUUGGGUAUCUUUGUAUUUAAUAUAAAUAUUAGAGUUUUUUAAAUGAGAAGGUGGUAUUGAUCCUUUUUCUGCCUUAAUAAUUUUUUCCAGAACAGAACAUAAAUACCUCGCAAAUGAUCAAAAACUAGAGUACAACAAUGUAAUAUUUCCUUCUAUACUUCUCUACAAGUUCCCCAGUCAUCCCUAGAGUAAAUUAU